UGCUUGAACUGGUCACGCGGAAGAGCACCUCUAGAAGUUGUUUAUACAUUUAUUCUACGUAGAUGUUGAAUAAUACAUUUUAGCUACAGUCUGAGUAAAAGCUACAGCCUCCUCUGGCUUACCUUCAGCCUUUUCUGUCACCAGCACACGCGCACCGAAAUCGAUGGCAAGCAGAGCUUCGGACAGGACCGGAAACAUAUUUACGAGAGUUUGCAUGGGACAGCACAUGGAUCAUAACAACAGAACAACAAAAGUACAGAAUAUGGAUAAAAGAAGUGAUCGAGAUAAGGAGACGUGGACUCUGGACCACGAAUAGGGAUGAAGGAGUUUACACGCUGGAUCAUUCAUGGGACAUGGUGAUCAGCUGGGAAGGCACAGGCAGAAGAGGGCGACAGCGUUCCCUACUGCCCGCGGAAGUAACAACAUCAACACCGGUGAGGCUCUGAAGAUGACCGCUGUGUAAUGCCAAAACUGUCAGCAGAUUAAGGUAAAAAACGUUGCUAUGCUGUGCAUUAAACAAGACAAAAAACAAUGGAAAUAGAUUUUCUAAUGCAUUUAUCUAUGCAGUUAUUUGAUUCUUGUAUUCAGAUUAAUAUGCAUGACUUUCAGUCUGAUGUUUCUAAGAUGAAAUAUGUUAAAUAUUGUAUUUUAGCAUAAUUAAUGUUUAAUAUAACUAUAAAUAGUAUAAAAUAUUGUAAUUUGUAAAAAAAAUCCAUGUAAAAGUAUGUUUUGGAUCUGAAACAGCUCAAUGUAUUACUAUGUGCAUGAUAGUGGCCCUUCGAUAGAUUGGAAACCUGUAACAGAUGACCUGCUGGAGCUAGGUACUAAUGAACCUCCUGUGACCCUAAACAGGCACAACUGGUUAUGGACAGUUGAAGGAUGGGUUGAUUCUUCCAGGUUUAAGUCUAUAAGAGUUUCAGACAGAUGCCUGAUGUUUGUUUUAGUAAUUGUGAAGAUGAACCUUCCAGCUCUUUUAUAUAUUUUAGGAUUUGUUUGUAUCAAACAGACCAGUUUACUAUAAUUUGAAGUUUUUGUAGCCCACAGUGUCUUUAGAUGGUUUUGAGGCCCAAUACUGGAGAACAUUAAACCAGUCUAUGAGUUAACGAGCAGUCCAAUAGAAUUAAUAAUUUCCAGCCACAAGUUUGAUAUUUGGCCUGCUAGAAUACACUUUUUAUGGCACAGCAAGUGGAUAUUCACGGAGGUUUACACAUAGAAGUGUCUUUCCUUCUUUGCCCAAGAGGUAAUGCUGGCCUACUUAUUUGCCAGUUUGAUAGAAACCCCGAUGACAGGAGGAGAGGAGGCUUCCUUAGUACGUUAGCUGGCAGUAAUCAUAAGUCAGCGGCCCAGAUAAGUCUUAUAGAUCACCCUAACACAAUGAUCCUAUACCUCUACCAUCAUUACUGGAAGAAAGGGUGACAUUUUUGAUUGAUUAAAGUGGUGCAGGCUAGCUUAGGCUAAAUCAUGUUAAGUGAUGUGACAUUGCAGUUUCACAUAUCAUAUUUCUGUCAAGAAAAUGAUCGUCGAAGGCAUUGUCGAGGCAUGAUAUCUGACAACAGCAGUCAUCUGGAGGGACCAGGGGAGAUUUAUGGGAAGGUUUUAGUGGUCUAAGGGAGAUGAGAGAGAGUAAAAGUGGUGCUUUUUUGUGCAUUGUCACUUCCACAGAGACUGUAAAUUUUUCCCCAGUGCUGUUGGGACUUGGAGACAUUUACACAUGCUGACAAAUUGCCUGUUGUAAAAGUAUUUAUUGGUCUUGUUCGUCUUUUAUUUCUUGGCUAACUCACAAACACAUACCCUCCUUAAAGAGUGAGAAAUAUUUAUCUACGGCAAAUUUAUGUGACACGCGUUUGCGCUCCAUGUCUGAGCCACAGCCUUAGAUAUGUCAUGCCGAUGUUACAGGUCUUCUGUUAAUGUUUUAAGAGGAGGCCUGAAGAUGGUCAUAAUGGUUUAUGCCAGCCACAGUGUCUCUAAACGCUGGGUUUUGGGCCCAGUUGGCUGGAGGAGCGUGUUGUUUGUGGAAAAUUAGCUUGCAAAAUAAAUCAAGAGAACGCACGAAAAGGGCAAAGAGCAACUUGCACUACUUGCUGAUGCACAAACACUCCAUCUCUGCUUGAUGAGCUGUUAACAGAUUAUAGCUUGUCACUUUAGUCAAUAUUAACGGCUGACAUUUAGUGUUCUGGAAAAGAAAAUGACCUUAGGGCUCGCUGUCACGGAUAACUUUCAUGGGAUUUAGACGGCUUGUUUGAUUUGAGUUAUUUAAUUAAUGUUUACAUUGUGAUGAAAUUCAUCUUUGCUGACCCAGUUUGAAAAUAUUGAUUCAAUGCCAAUACAGCUCACCUGUGCUUCGGAGAAAACGUCACCUCCCCUAUUAAUUUACUUUCUUACCAUUUUCAAAUAUCAGUUUGUUUUAUUUCACUUUGUAGUCAAAGCAGUACAGAUUCUUUCCACGAGGUGGCACUGUAAGACCGCCUACGUGAAUCUGCGGCAGAGAGCUGGGUGGAAAGGGGGAGCCCUACACUUACCUCACUCGCAGACAGAGCUAUAAUUUACUAAUAGUGUAGGAGCCGCCAUUGCUGUUAUCUUUUAAUAGAUUUGUACAGGGGAAAGCAGGUGCCAGUUGUUAAUGCGUCCAAUUGCCCAAGUUGCCUACAGAAUUUGGGGCAUCCAUCACUGUCGUCGACGGUGACACCCUGUCGUUCUACUUCACGCGGCGGGCCGGCCGGGCUGGGUUGGUAACAGAUGAGGCUUCUCUCUCCUCCAGACGCCCACAGUCACACAGAGACAACCUCCACGAGUGCCUGCACACGUGCACACACACAUGCACACGUGCACAGCUGUACCUGACUCUUAGAGGGCAAGUUGAACUCAUAAGCACAUAUGGAUGUCUAGUAUAAGAUAAUAACAUAUAUGAAAAUAAAUCAGUGUUGAUUUUUACAUUAAUCUGUCCCAGGUGUUAAAACUGUACAUUUUCAAAAGUCAGCUUUUUCUAAAGUGGGUUUUAAUGUUUCCUCUCCCAGCUGUGUGAUUCAGUCUGAGUUACACCCAUAUUAAGGCUAAAACGUGUUGAGUUUAGGCAAACUAGACUGGGUUUAGAGGUAAAGACUGAAAACACAUCUCCAGCCAAGUCUGGAAUGUUGAAAAUCUCUCCUCAAACUUGAUAAACAAGACACUUUGUAUAAAGUGUGUACAGUUAAAUUCUGAUUAAUGAGAAACAAAUUGUUUAUAUUGUAAUGAAUAAUCGCAUCAUUAACUAUUAAUUUGAUAUGUAUAAGCGUAGUGUUGAUGUGAAUUGAUAACAUUUGUAUUUUUUAUGCCUGCCGAUGUUUUACAAACUUGAAACUCAAAAAAACUGUCAAAGUUACAAAGUUUAAACAUCUCUGGGUAUGUGCAGAUAUUUGCCUGUUCAGAAGAUUUAUAUAGCGUCUCUCAGGACAAGUCACGAGGCGCUUCACAAGAACAAAAAACAAAAAAUAAAAUAGAAGAAAAAUCGUGAUUUCAAAAAAUGUAAGGAAAGGGAAAGACAAAAUGAAUAAGAAAGAGGUCAUCAGUGGAUUUGUUUAGAUAGUUUCAUAAUACACGUUACACACAAACUAAUUAUUAUUAUUAUUAUUAUUAUUAUUAUUAUUAUUAUUUUCCCCCUGUUCUGCCUGGCUGUGAAGCAAAUGGAAGUCUGAAUGCUGGUGACAAGCCUUACAGAUUUACUCUCAGGUGGAGCAUCGAAGCUUCUGCUUUUAAUGUCAUGCCUGAUACUUAAAAAUGUAUUGUUAUUGCUUUUUGAAUGCUUUGUAAUUCCGACCAGACACAAAUUAAUUUUAACUAACUUAAGGAACAUUUUUUUAUUUUAUAUCAACUAAAUAUAUUAAAACAACUCAUAGAAUUGUAAUCAGUAAUAGAAGAAGAAAUAUUGAUUGCAUUACAAUGUGUGUGUGUGUGUGUGUGUGUGUGUGUGUGUGU